rnacentral:rRNA from 1 species
GACGAACGCUGGCGGCGUGCCUAAUACAUGCAAGUCGAACGCUUCUUUCCUCCCGAGUGCUUGCACUCAAUUGGAAAGAGGAGUGGCGGACGGGUGAGUAACACGUGGGUAACCUACCCAUCAGAGGGGGAUAACACUUGGAAACAGGUGCUAAUACCGCAUAACAGUUUAUGCCGCAUGGCAUAAGAGUGAAAGGCGCUUUCGGGUGUCGCUGAUGGAUGGACCCGCGGUGCAUUAGCUAGUUGGGGAGGUAACGGCUCACCAAGGCGACGAUGCAUAGACGACCUGAGAGGGUGAUCGGCCACACUGGGACUGAGACACGGCCCAGACUCCUACGGGAGGCAGCAGUAGGGAAUCUUCGGCAAAGGACGAAAGUCUGACCGAGCAACGCCGCGUGAGUGAAGAAGGUGUUCGGAUCGUAAAACUCUGUUGUUAGAGAAGAACAAGGACGUUAGUAACUGAACGUCCCCUGACGGUAUCUAACCAGAAAGCCACGGCUAACUACGUG